rnacentral:rRNA from 1 species
AUAUAUGGGCAUGCUACUCUAAACAAGCUCAAUCCUGGCUGAUCUCAGAAGCUAAGCAGGGUUGGGCCUGGUUAGUACUUGGAUGGGAGACCACCUAGGAAGACUAGGUGCUGUAGGUC